rnacentral:rRNA from 1 species
CCUACGGGUGGCAGCAGUGAGGAAUAUUGGUCAAUGGACGCGAGCCUGAACCAGCCAAGUAGCGUGAAGGAUGACUGCCCUAUGGGUUGUAAACUUCUUUUAUAAAGGAAUAAAAUGAGGCACGUGUGCCUUUUUGUAUGUACUUUAUGAAUAAGGAUCGGCUAACUCCGUGCCAGCAGCCGCGGUAAUACGGAGGAUCCGAGCGUUAUCCGGAUUUAUUGGGUUUAAAGGGAGCGUAGGUGGGUUGUUAAGUCAGUGGUGAAAGUUUGCGGCUCAACCGUAAAAUUGCAAUUGAUACUGGCAGCCUUGAGUACAGUUGAGGUAGGCGGAAUUCGUGGUGUAGCGGUGAAAUGCUUAGAUAUCACGAAGAACCCCGAUUGCGAAGGCAGCUUACUAAACUGCCACUGACAUUGAUGCUCGAAAGUGUGGGUAUCAAACAGGAUUAGAUACCCUAGUAGUC